ACAGCUGCUCAAACUGCAUUAACAGUAUUCAGGCCCUCCUUAUACUGGGGACAAAAAAAGAACACCUCAAAAUGUCACGUUUCCUCAGAUGUCACCAUGCCACAGAUGUCACAAAUCAUGCGGGAAUGGUUCUGGAUAAUAUCCCAUAGCUCUGUGUGGUUCUCAAAGAGGAGUGGAAGAACAUUCCACAGGCCACAACUGACAAUACUGUCAACUUGAUGAGAAG